CGCAGUGUAGCUUAACGUAAAGCCCCUGGCUCAUAACCGGGUCGAUGCGGGUUCAAGUCCCGCCACUGCUACCA
rnacentral:tRNA from 3 species